CCUAAUACAUGCAAGUCGAACGCUGAAGCACUCUGCUUGCAGAGUGUGGAUGAGUGGCGAACGGGUGAGUAACACGUGGGGAAUCUGCCUAGGAGUGGGGGAUAACAUUCGGAAACGGAUGCUAAUACCGCAUAGAUUCGCGAACCGCAUGGUUCAUGAAUGAAAGACGGCUUUGCUGUCGCUCUUAGAUGAUCCCGCGGCGUAUUAGUUAGUUGGUGAGGUAAUGGCUCACCAAAGCAACGAUACGUAGCCGACCUGAGAGGGUGAUCGGCCACACUGGGACUGAGACACGGCCCAGACUCCUACGGGAGGCAGCAGUAGGGAAUCUUCCACAAUGGGUGCAAACCUGAUGGAGCAAUGCCGCGUGAAUGAAGAAGGUCUUCGGAUCGUAAAGUUCUGUUAUUAGAGAAGAACAAGUUGAGGAGUAACUGCCUCAACCUUGACAGUAUCUAACCAGAAAGUCACGGCUAACUACGUG
rnacentral:rRNA from 1 species